UACAGAGGGUGCAAGCGUUAAUCGGAAUUACUGGGCGUAAAGGGUGCGCAGGCGGCGUCGCAAGUCAGGCGUGAAAUCCCCCGGGCUCAACCUGGGAAUGGCAAUGGAUACUGGACAGCUAGAGUGUGUCAGAGGAUGGUGGAAUUCCACGUGUAGCGGUGAAAUGCGUAGAGAUGUGGAGGAACACCAGUGGCGAAGGCGACUCUUUGGCCUGUAACUGACGCUGAGGCGCGAAAGCGUGGGGAGCAAACAGG
rnacentral:rRNA from 1 species